GAUUUUUUCCGUUCUUGAACCCGCCACAUCUGUAAACGUUGUCCUUAAUUCUAUGUACCCCCUGACCUCCACCUGGUCACCAGCGAAACCAUACAAACACCCUCCAUAGGGCCUCAACUGGUCAAGGGGCAGCUCCAACUGCGUGAAAGUCGGCCAAAACAUCACAUCUGCCGAGCUUCCUUGGUCCACUAGCACCCUGUGGACCUUUCUUCCUGCUGUUAUCAGCGAAAUUACUAUGGGAUCGUUGUCAUGAGGCACAACAUC
rnacentral:lncRNA from 1 species